AGUGUAGGCGGGAUCGUAAGUUAGGAGUUUAAUACAUGGGCUUAACCCAUGAGCUGCUUUUAAUACUGCGGUUCUUGGGUAUGGGAGAGGGCGAUGGAAUUCCAGGUGUAGCGGUGGAAUGCGUAGAUAUCUGGAAGAACACCAGUAGCGAAGGCGGUCGCCUGGCCCAAUACUGACGCUGAUGCUCGAAAGCUAGGGGAGCAAACAGGAUUAGAUACCCUGGUAGUCCUAGCCGUAAACGAUGGACACUAGUUGCUGGAGGAGUCAAUCCUUUCGGUGACGAAGCUAACGCAUUAAGUGUCCCGCCUGGGGAGUACGUUCGCAAGGAUGAA
rnacentral:rRNA from 1 species